rnacentral:rRNA from 1 species
UAAGCGACUAAGCGUACACGGUGGAUGCCCUGGCAGUCAGAGGCGAUGAAGGACGUGCUAAUCUGCGAAAAGCGCCGGCGAGGUGAUAUGAACCUUUGACCCGGCGAUGUCCGAAUGGGGAAACCCAGUGCAAUUCGUUGCACUAUCGUUAACUGAAUACAUAGGUUAACGAGGCGAACCGGGGGAACUGAAACAUCUAAGUACCCCGAGGAAAAGAAAUCAACCGAGAUUCCCCCAGUAGCGGCGAGCGAACGGGGAGCAGCCCGGAGUCUGAAUCAGCUUGUGUGUUAGUGGAACGGUCUGGAAAGUCCGACGGUACAGGGUGAUAGUCCCGUACACGAAAGCACACAUGCUGUGAACUCGAAGAGUAGGGCGGGACACGUGGUAUCCUGUCUGAAUAUGGGGGGACCAUCCUCCAAGGCUAAAUACUCCUGACUGACCGAUAGUGAACCAGUACCGUGAGGGAAAGGCGAAAAGAACCCCGGCGAGGGGAGUGAAAAAGAACCUGAAACCGUGUACGUACAAGCAGUGGGAGCACCUUCGUGGUGUGACUGCGUACCUUUUGUAUAAUGGGUCAGCGACUUAUAUUCUGUAGCAAGGUUAACCGUAUAGGGGAGCCGAAGGGAAACCGAGUCUUAACUGGGCGUUAAGUUGCAGGGUAUAGACCCGAAACCCGGUGAUCUAGCCAUGGGCAGGUUGAAGGUUGGGUAACACUAACUGGAGGACCGAACCGACUAAUGUUGAAAAAUUAGCGGAUGACCUGUGGCUGGGGGUGAAAGGCCAAUCAAACCGGGAGAUAGCUGGUUCUCCCCGAAAGCUAUUUAGGUAGCGCCUCGUGAACUCAUCUUCGGGGGUAGAGCACUGUUUCGGCUAGGGGGCCAUCCCGGCUUACCAACCCGAUGCAAACUACGAAUACCGAAGAAUGUUAUCACGGGAGACACACGGCGGGUGCUAACGUCCGUCGUGAAGAGGGAAACAACCCAGACCGCCAGCUAAGGUCCCAAAGUCAUGGUUAAGUGGGAAACGAUGUGGGAAGGCACAGACAGCCAGGAUGUUGGCUUAGAAGCAGCCAUCAUUUAAAGAAAGCGUAAUAGCUCACUGGUCGAGUCGGCCUGCGCGGAAGAUGUAACGGGGCUAAACCAUGCACCGAAGCUGCGGCAGCGACACUAUGUGUUGUUGGGUAGGGGAGCGUUCUGUAAGCCGUUGAAGGUGUGCUGUGAGGCAUGCUGGAGGUAUCAGAAGUGCGAAUGCUGACAUAAGUAACGAUAAAGCGGGUGAAAAGCCCGCUCGCCGGAAGACCAAGGGUUCCUGUCCAACGUUAAUCGGGGCAGGGUGAGUCGACCCCUAAGGCGAGGCCGAAAGGCGUAGUCGAUGGGAAACAGGUUAAUAUUCCUGUACUUGGUGUUACUGCGAAGGGGGGACGGAGAAGGCUAUGUCAGCCGGGCGACGGUUGUCCCGGUUUAAGCAUGUAGGCGGAGGUUCCAGGUAAAUCCGGUACCUUUUAACGCUGAGGUGUGAUGACGAGGCACUACGGUGCUGAAGUGAUAAAUGCCCUGCUUCCAGGAAAAGCCUCUAAGCAUCAGGUAACACGAAAUCGUACCCCAAACCGACACAGGUGGUCAGGUAGAGAAUACCAAGGCGCUUGAGAGAACUCGGGUGAAGGAACUAGGCAAAAUGGUGCCGUAACUUCGGGAGAAGGCACGCUGAUGUGUAGGUGAAGCCCCUGCGGGCGGAGCUGAAAUCAGUCGAAGAUACCAGCUGGCUGCAACUGUUUAUUAAAAACACAGCACUGUGCAAACACGAAAGUGGACGUAUACGGUGUGACGCCUGCCCGGUGCCGGAAGGUUAAUUGAUGGGGUUAGCGGCAACGCGAAGCUCUUGAUCGAAGCCCCGGUAAACGGCGGCCGUAACUAUAACGGUCCUAAGGUAGCGAAAUUCCUUGUCGGGUAAGUUCCGACCUGCACGAAUGGCGUAAUGAUGGCCAGGCUGUCUCCACCCGAGACUCAGUGAAAUUGAACUCGCUGUGAAGAUGCAGUGUACCCGCGGCAAGACGGAAAGACCCCGUGAACCUUUACUAUAGCUUGACACUGAACACUGGUCCUUGAUGUGUAGGAUAGGUGGGAGGCUUUGAAGCGUGGACGCCAGUCUGCGUGGAGCCGCCCUUGAAAUACCACCCUUUAAUGGCUGGUGUUCUAACGUGGACCCGUAAUCCGGGUUGCGGACAGUGUCUGGUGGGUAGUUUGACUGGGGCGGUCUCCUCCCAAAGAGUAACGGAGGAGCACGAAGGUUGGCUAAUCCUGGUCGGACAUCAGGAGGUUAGUGCAAUGGCAUAAGCCAGCUUGACUGCGAGCGUGACGGCGCGAGCAGGUGCGAAAGCAGGUCAUAGUGAUCCGGUGGUUCUGAAUGGAAGGGCCAUCGCUCAACGGAUAAAAGGUACUCCGGGGAUAACAGGCUGAUACCGCCCAAGAGUUCAUAUCGACGGCGGUGUUUGGCACCUCGAUGUCGGCUCAUCACAUCCUGGGGCUGAAGUAGGUCCCAAGGGUAUGGCUGUUCGCCAUUUAAAGUGGUACGCGAGCUGGGUUUAGAACGUCGUGAGACAGUUCGGUCCCUAUCUGCCGUGGGCGCUGGAGAAUUGAGGGGGGCUGCUCCUAGUACGAGAGGACCGGAGUGGACGCAUCACUGGUGUUCGGGUUGUCAUGCCAAUGGCACUGCCCGGUAGCUAAAUGCGGAAGAGAUAAGUGCUGAAAGCAUCUAAGCACGAAACUUGCCCCGAGAUGAGUUCUCCCUGAGACUUUAAGUCUCCUGAAGGAACGUUGAAGACGACGACGUUGAUAGGUCGGGUGUGUAAGCGCAGCGAUGCGUUGAGCUAACCGAUACUAAUGAACCGUGAGGCUUAACCU